UACGUAGGUGGCAAGCGUUGUCCGGAUUUACUGGGCGUAAAGAGCGCGCAGGCGGUCGGAUAAGUCGAAUGUGAAAGCCCCUGGCUCAACUAGGGAGAGUCAUUCGAUACUGUUCGACUCGAAGGCAGGAGAGGGAAGUGGAAUUCCGGGUGUAGUGGUGAAAUGCGUAGAUAUCCGGAGGAACACCAGUGGCGAAGGCGACUUUCUGGCCUGUUCUUGACGCUGAGGCGCGAAAGCUAGGGGAGCAAACGGG
rnacentral:rRNA from 1 species